UUGUCUGAAAAGUGUGUUAGUU
rnacentral:snRNA from 1 species